AGUCGAGCGGUAGCACAGAGAGCUUGCUCUCGGGUGACGAGCGGCGGACGGGUGAGUAAUGUCUGGGAAACUGCCUGAUGGAGGGGGAUAACUACUGGAAACGGUAGCUAAUACCGCAUAACGUCGCAAGACCAAAGUGGGGGACCUUCGGGCCUCAUGCCAUCAGAUGUGCCCAGAUGGGAUUAGCUAGUAGGUGGGGUAACGGCUCACCUAGGCGACGAUCCCUAGCUGGUCUGAGAGGAUGACCAGCCACACUGGAACUGAGACACGGUCCAGACUCCUACGGGAGGCAGCAGUGGGGAAUAUUGCACAAUGGGCGCAAGCCUGAUGCAGCCAUGCCGCGUGUGUGAAGAAGGCCUUCGGGUUGUAAAGCACUUUCAGCGGGGAGGAAGGCGAUAAGGUUAAUAACCUUGUCGAUUGACGUUACCCGCAGAAGAAGCACCGGCUAACUCCGUGCCAGCAGCCGCGGUAAUACGGAGGGUGCAAGCGUUAAUCGGAAUUACUGGGCGUAAAGCGCACGCAGGCGGUCUGUCAAGUCGGAUGUGAAAUCCCCGGGCUCAACCUGGGAACUGCAUUCGAAACUGGCAGGCUAGAGUCUUGUAGAGGGGGGUAGAAUUCCAGGUGUAGCGGUGAAAUGCGUAGAGAUCUGGAGGAAUACCGGUGGCGAAGGCGGCCCCCUGGACAAAGACUGACGCUCAGGUGCGAAGCGUGGGGAGCAAACAGGAUUAGAUACCCUGGUAGUCCACGCCGUAACGAUGUCGAUUUGGAGGUUGUGCCCUUGAGGCGUGGCUUCCGGAGCUAACGCGUUAAUCGACCGCCUGGGGGAGUAGGCCGCAAGGUUAAAACUCAAAUGAAUUGACGGGGGCCCGCACAAGCGGUGGAGCAUGUGGUUUAAUUCGAUGCAACGCGAAGAACCUUACCUGGUCUUGACAUCCACAGAACUUAGCAGAGAUGGUUUGGUGCCUUCGGGAACUGUGAGACAGGUGCUGCAUGGCUGUCGUCAGCUCGUGUUGUGAAAUGUUGGGUUAAGUCCCGCAACGAGCGCAACCCUUAUCCUUUGUUGCCAGCGGUCAGGCCGGGAACUCAAAGGAGACUGCCAGUGAUAAACUGGAGGAAGGUGGGGAUGACGUCAAGUCAUCAUGGCCCUUACGACCAGGGCUACACACGUGCUACAAUGGCAUAUACAAAGAGAAGCGACCUCGCGAGAGCAAGCGGACCUCAUAAAGUAUGUCGUAGUCCGGAUUGGAGUCUGCAACUCGACUCCAUGAAGUCGGAAUCGCUAGUAAUCGUAGAUCAGAAUGCUACGGUGAAUACGUUCCCGGGCCUUGUACACACCGCCCGUCACACCAUGGGAGUGGGUUGCAAAAGAAGUAGGUAGCUUAACCUUCGGGAGGGCGCUACCACUUGAU
rnacentral:rRNA from 1 species